rnacentral:sRNA from 1 species
AUUCUAUCCAUGUGGGGAAGGAUGAGAAGCUUCGACUAAGGUUCGAUUCGAGCGCAGCGAGAAAGCGUUGCCGCAGGCAACGACCCGAAGGGCGAAGCGCGCAGCGCUGAGUAAUCCUUCCCCCACCACCA